rnacentral:rRNA from 1 species
CUCGGUGACCAUAGCGGAGGGGCCCCACCCGUUCCCAUUCCGAACACGGAAGUUAAGCCCUCCAGCGCCGAUGGUACUGCCCUUCGCGGGUGGGAGAGUAGGUCGUCGCCGGGC